CAGAUGAUGCCUAUCAACUGUUUAAAAGUAUGGUUCUGCUAUCACUCUUGGGAUGGGACCUGCGGUGCAUUAGCUAGUUGGUAGGGGUAAAUGGCCUACCAAGGCGAUGAUGCAUAGCCGAGUUUGAGAGACUGAUCGGCCACAUUGGGACUGAGACACGGCCCAAACUCCUACGGGAGGCAGCAGUAGGGGAAUCUUCCACAAUGGACGCAAGUCUGAUGGAGCAAACGCCGCGUGAGUGAAGAAGGGUUUCGGCUCGUAAAGCUCUGUUGUUGGUGAAGAAGGACAGGGGGUAGUAACUGACCUUUGUUUGACGGUAAUCAAUUAGAAAAGUCACGGGCUAACUACGUGCCCAGCAGCCGCGGGUAAAU
rnacentral:rRNA from 1 species